rnacentral:rRNA from 1 species
GUGGGGAAUAUUGGACAAUGGGCGAAAGCCUGAUCCAGCCAUGCCGCGUGUGUGAAGAAGGUCUUCGGAUUGUAAAGCACUUUAAGUUGGGAGGAAGGGCAGUAAGUUAAUACCUUGCUGUUUUGACGUUACCGACAGAAUAAGCACCGGCUAACUUCGUGCCAGCAGCCGCGGUAAUACGAAGGGUGCAAGCGUUAAUCGGAAUUACUGGGCGUAAAGCGCGCGUAGGUGGUUUUGUAAGUUGGAGGUGAAAUCCCCGGGCUCAACCCUGGAAUUGCUCUCAAAACUGCAAGGCUCGAAUUCGGGAGAGGAUAGCGGAAUUGUCAGUGUAGCAGUGAAAUGCGUAGAUAUUGACAGGAACACCAGUGGCGUAAGCGGCUAUCUGGACCGAUAUUGACGCUGAGGCACGAAAGCGUGGGGAUCAAACAGGAUUAGAAACCCCUGUAGUCC